GCUUCUGAUUCUGUGCAGAGAAAUGAAACUGAAACCAGCACAGUGUGUGUGUUAAGUUCUGAGCUGUGAAGCUGUGUGUCUCAACUUGUCUGCUGAUCUGAGCUAAAAUGAAACUGAUCUGUCCCAAAAGAACCACUGUUGGUGGUUGAAACUGGACGAUAAUCCUACAGGGCCUGACCGCUGAUACAGGCAAUUAGCAUGACCCCUUUGCCAUUCAAUCUGCAAAUCUCUUGCUGUUCCACUCCUGUGGUGUAAGAGAGAAUGCUGACAUCUCUGUGAAGUUUGCCAAAAGCAGUUCAUGUGGGAUCAAAAGGGGAUCGCGGUUGGCUUUAUUUCUUCUGGUCAACAACUGAUGCUAGAAAAAUAAUCUACUGUAUUGCAAGAAUUAAAAACUGGUCUGUUGGAAUCUUUAGGGGACAAGAAAUUCUGGUCUACUAAGCAAACACCCAUGAAGCAGAUGCCGGAGUUACAUGGCGGAUCCAAUGCUGUGGUGAAAAUCAGAGCAUUUUGAAACUGGGGCCAGAAUUCCAUAUAGCCCGCUGCAACUUUGGAUGGGAAACACAAAGACCUCCAAAAUUUUCCCCCGAAAUGUAAUUUUUAAUGUGAUGUAAAGAAAUCUAUUUAAAUGUAUGACUGGAGUGUCAGCAUAUUAAAGAUGUGUAAAACCAAACAAUUAGUUCUUCCUACAGAAUAUGCCAGGCUGCUCCAGGGAUGAUCAACCAUUUCCCAUCAAUUAAUCUUUCAAAUUGGGAAUGACUUGUAGUGUUCUGGAUGUGGUGUUUAGGGCCAGAGUGUGUUCAGAACACCA